GGCCGUCAGGGGCCCGGGCGGUCCUGGAGCCCCCCGAGCUUUCCUGAGACCCCCGAGCCCUUCAGAGCCCCUGGGACUGCCGCCCGCUCGCCUCUCCUCCUUCCUCAGCCGAGCUGGGAGGGAAGAAGGCAAGGGGAAGAACGGGCUCGGUGCGGCCCCGCGGGGAAAGGGAACGGGAGGAGGGUCCGCCCGGCGUCGUGAGGGCGCUCGUCGUCCUCCCCUCACGGCCCCGAGGUUGGCGUGCAGGGGAGAAGCCGCGGGGAGUGAGCGCCUGUCGCCUCCUGCAGCCACCGGGGCACGGAGGGAAGGGGGUUUGGGCCACCUGCUGUCCUCGGAACCAGAGACUCAUAAAGGAGUGGGAAGAAAAGCAGUAGGGUCCUAAAUAUUUUCCUUCAGGAAUGAACGAACACAAUGGUCCACGUGAAUUGAAAAACAAAAACCUCUAGAAGAUUGUAAUCUUUUUUACCAUCAAAGCCUGCAGGAGCAGCAUGAAAGGGAGGACUUGCCUGAUCAAAUCGAAUUUCUUCCGUGAAGAAAUUCCUGCUGAUGUCCCACCUGAACCUCCCCUGGCACAGCCUGAGGCCAUUUCCUCUCGUCCUGUCGCUGGAAAACCUUGGCUCCAGAGCAGAAAGGCUGAAGAGAAAUUGCCAAAACUCUGGGUUAAUUAUGGCUAUUAGAGAGAUCCUGUCAUUUUCACUUUUUUCCUGGACAUUCUUCUUUCACUAGUGGGGAGUUCCCGCUGUCAUUACACGUUGUGGCCGGCAGCCAUGGCCCCGGGGGUGCCGGUGGAGCCGCGCUGAAGGCUCCGUUCCGCUGACGCUCGUUCCGGCCGAUCCCGGCUCAU